ACAUCUUUCUUUGUGGUGGAGUUUUAUACUGGGUACUAUAAGAUGUUCAGAUGCAGCUCUGGGCUACACCUACUCAAUACCAGAAGCUCCUGCUUUCUCAAAUAUAACAACUGAAUCGUCUCAAGAAAUUACCCAGUAAUUCCCAGAGACAAAAUUGCUCCCAGACAAGACCACUCUUUCAUAUGAGAGAAUUGUGGGAGUUCAUAAGAUAGCUAAUCUAAUUCCUUUCAGCUUGGCUCAGUUUGAAGCAUGAAUCAUUCUUUUAAAGACUUUUGAAAUAUAGAAUAAGAAGUGGUACAAGCUAGAUCACAUGCUCCAUGAAGAAAAUGGCCCUGUCUUAUUCCUUAGCUCUGAGAUGCGAUCAUAGAAAAAGUAGAUGCUCAAUAAAAUUGUGAGGGAGCACAGAGAAGCCCUGGUGAGGCUUUCUGGCAAUGAGGAUAGAAAGUGCUGCUUCAAAUCAGAGGCCAUGGAAGGCCUGAAACCAGUAAUCAUCUGUCUAUCACCUGACUGUGAGUCAGCAAAGAACCCCAGACUCUGAGGUCACUUCCUCAUCUGCUGAGAUCACUUCCUGAACUGCCCCAGUCAUACCUCCCUUGGACAGUGUGACUGCCCCAAGGCUCUGAGAUCACUUCCACAUCUCUGUGCUCCACCAGCCUCCCACCUUUCCCUAUAUAAUCCAGCUCAACACAAGUCUCCUCUUUGUUUUCUCUUUUUCCUUCCCCUCUCUCUCUGCAUACCUCCAUCUCAAGCAAUUUGCUC